rnacentral:rRNA from 1 species
UACAGAGGGGGCAAGCGUUAUUCGGAAUCAUUGGGCGUAAAGCGCGCGUGAGGCGGUCAGGUAAGUCCGGUGUGAAAGUCAUAGGCUCAACCUAUGGAUGCCGCUGGGAAACUGCCUGACUUGAGUCCGGGAGGGGCGAGUGGAAUUCCUGGUGUAGCGGUGAAAUGCGCAGAUAUCAGGAGGAACACCAAUGGCGAAGGCAGCUCGCUGGAACGGUACUGACGCUGAGGCGCGAAAGCGUGGGGAGCGAACAGG